GGAUUAGAAACCCGGGUAGUCCACGCCGUAAACGUUGGGCACUAGGUGUGGGGGGCCUUUUCCGGGUCUUCCGCGCCGUAGCUAACGCAUUAAGUGCCCCGCCUGGGGAGUACGGCCGCAAGGCUAAAACUCAAAGGAAUUGACGGGGGCCCGCACAAGCGGCGGAGCAUGCGGAUUAAUUCGAUGCAACGCGAAGAACCUUACCAAGGCUUGACAUGUGCCGGUCUGCUCCGGAGACGGGGUUUCCUCCCUUGUGGGGCUGGUUCACAGGUGGUGCAUGGUUGUCGUCAGCUCGUGUCGUGAGAUGUUGGGUUAAGUCCCGCAACGAGCGCAACCCUUGUCUCGUGUUGCCAGCACGUUGUGGUGGGGACUCGCGGGAGACUGCCGGGGUCAA
rnacentral:rRNA from 1 species